rnacentral:misc_RNA from 1 species
UGCAAGAUUGCUAUUAUACCAUAUUAUCGAACUUAAAAUGCACCAUACAAAUUUUCUCGUAAAGCAAAAACUAUGUAACCUACCAAAGACCUCAAAAUUAAUCUCUCUAGAUAGAGAAACCACAAAAGAAAAGGCUAACCCACCUUAUUCAGUUGCUUCAACUUUNNNCUCAUCUAUUUAGCCUCCUUUAGUUGGAAGCUCGUCAUCCAUUUCAUCCUCCGUCC